GUGUCAGCCGCCGCGGUAAUACGUAGGGUGCGAGCGUUAAUCGGAAUUACUGGGCGUAAAGCGUGCGCAGGCGGUUAUACAAGACAGGCGUGAAAUCCCCGGGCUUAACCUGGGAAUGGCGUCUGUGACUGUAUAGCUAGAGUGUGUCAGAGGGGGGUGGAAUUCCACGUGUAGCAGUGAAAUGCGUAGAUAUGUGGAGGAACACCAAUGGCGAAGGCAGCCCCCUGGGAUAACACUGACGCUCAUGCACGAAAGCGUGGGGAGCAAACAGGAUUAGAUACCCUGGUAGUCCACGCCCUAAACGAUGCUGACUAGUUGUUGGGAAUUUACAUUCUCAGUAACGUAGCUAACGCGUGAAGUCAGCCGCCUGGGGAGUACGGUCGCAAGAUUAAAACUUAAAUGAAUUGACGGGG
rnacentral:rRNA from 1 species